GACGAACGCUGGCGGCGUGCUUAACACAUGCAAGUCGAACGGAAAGGCCCUGCUUGCAGGGUACUCGAGUGGCGAACGGGUGAGUAACACGUGGGUGAUCUGCCCUGCACUUCGGGAUAAGCCUGGGAAACUGGGUCUAAUACCAGAUAGGAGCCAUUCUUAGUGUGAUGGUUGGAAAGUUUUUUCGGUGUAGGAUGAGCUCGCGGCCUAUCAGCUUGUUGGUGGGGUAAUGGCCUACCAAGGCGGCGACGGGUAGCCGGCCUGAGAGGGUGGACGGCCACAUUGGGACUGAGAUACGGCCCAGACUCCUACGGGAGGCAGCAGUGGGGAAUAUUGCACAAUGGGCGCAAGCCUGAUGCAGCGACGCCGCGUGGGGGAUGACGGCCUUCGGGUUGUAAACUCCUUUCGCUAGGGACGAAGCUUUUUGUGACGGUACCUAGAUAAGAAGCACCGGCUAACUACGUG
rnacentral:rRNA from 1 species